AAAACUUUUCAGCUAGAGUAUGAUAGAGGAAAGCAGAAUUUCUAGUGUAGAGGUGAAAUUCGUAGAUAUUAGAAAGAAUACCAAUUGCGAAGGCAGCUUUCUGGAUCAUUACUGACACUGAGGAACGAAAGCAUGGGUAGCGAAGAGGAUUAGAUACCCUCGUAGUCCAUGCCGUAAACGAUGUGUGUUAGACGUUGGAAAUUUAUUUUCAGUGUCGCAGCGAAAGCGAUAAACACACCGCCUGGGGAGUACGACCGCAAGGUUAAAACUCAAAUGAAUUGACGGGGACCCGCACAAGUAGUGGAGCAUGUGGUUUAAUUCGAAGAUACGCGCAGAACCUUACCAACACUUGACAUGUUCGUCGCGACUCUAAGAGAUUAGAGUUUUCGGUUCGGCCGGACGAAACACAGGUGCUGCAUGGCUGUCGUCAGCUCGUGUCGUGAGGUGUCAGGUUAAGUCCUAUAACGAGCGCAACCCCUGUGGUUAGUUGCCAUCAUUAAGUUGGGCACUCUGAAAGAACUGCCAGUGAUAAGCUGGAGGAAGGUGGGGAUGACGUCAAGUCCUCAUGGCCCUUACGUGUUGGGCUACACACGUGCUACAAUGGUAUCUACAACAGGAAGCAAGACUGCGAAGUUAAGCAAAUCCCUAAAAGAUACCUCAGUUCGGAUUGCACUCUGCAACUCGAGUGCAUGAAGCUGGAAUUACUAGUAAUCGUGGAUCAGCGUGCCACGGUGAAUGCGUUCCCGGGUCUUGUACACACCGCCCGUCACACCAUGGGAGUUGGUUCUACCUUAAGGCAAGGUUUCAAACCCUUGACCACGGUAUAGUCAGCGACUGGGGUGAAGUCGUAACAAGGUAACCGUA
rnacentral:rRNA from 1 species